rnacentral:lncRNA from 7 species
AGGUAAACGUGAUAAGCUAAAUAGAGUUAAGUCAGAAAUUAGUGGGAAAAAAAUUUCAAAAGAAAUCCCUAAUCUAUAUGGAUUAGCGGUUUGGAUAAAAGUAGAGCUAACAGGUAGAUAACAGAAUUGCUCUCGACUCCCCAGCUGAUGCUCAGCCAGUCCCCAAGCAGUGGCUGCUCCUGGCCAACUUCACCAAUUUUUAGAUAUGUUCACAUGAUGUCAUAGGAUAUGGAAUUAUCCCUUUGGCCAGCUUAGGUCAGAACAUAAUCUGGAUGACGGCUGCUUCCAUAGAAAGGCUGUUCCACAUCCAGAGCUUAUCAUCACCAAGUCAGUGAGUCUUCACAGGAAGAGUCAACCGUUUUUUCCCCGCAUAUGACCAUUGGUAUCCCCAACAAUGCUCUUCCCGGCAUCAUGAAGAGCUUGUCAGAAGCAGUUUUGCUGCUCCAGGAUAUAAAAAUCAUUGAAUAAAAGGGAAGCGUCUUUCUGUUCUGCUGCUACCUCCAAAUACAGAAGGACAGUGUUAAGAGACUGAUGUAAUCAACGCUGCUUUACAGAAUAAAUGCUGCCUUCUGUCACUGAUGCUUGAGGGAGGUGACGUAAAAAAAACAACAACAAACCAAACAGUAUUAUGAUCAGCAGCAGAGGGUAGCUCAGCACCAUCAUGUUGUUCUCACUCCCUCUCCUUGGAAGGACUGGAAGAAAAUAACAAUGAAAAAGAAAAGCUCAAGAGCUGAGAUAAGGAUGGACCAAUUGCUGUCACAGUGUGCAGAAAGAUGGAGAAUUUCUGGGAGGAAUUUUGAAUCCUGGGCUGUGAUCUGAGCUGCUUUUGUUAAUGAAGAAAAUGUAAGGAGUUGCUUCCUAUUUCUUUAAUUCUCCUUUUUGUCUAUAACUUAGAUUUUAGCUUAGUUCUUUUUGUACGUAGAUAGUAGCCUGUUAGGAUAUAAUUUCCACUGGGAAAGAUGCUGUGCUGAGUUUCAAGCUGGAAAUGGGUUACCAAACUGGCUUUAUAAAAUGUAUUUAUAAAAUGGAUAGAGUCCUGAUGAUAUAAAUAGGCAUACGAUCGGUUUAAAUUAGUGAAACUUGUCAGUCGUUUGUACUUGAUCUGGUCCAGUGGGUCAUGUUUUUGAAAGUGUUUCCUUUCUGUGACCUUGCCACAGCACCUGAUGAGUAUUGCGUGAGUGUAUGCAUGUGUUAACUGGUAGGUGUGGGGAGGAACUGUGGAUUGAUGCCUGUGAAUGAAGUCUUCAGCUUGCACGAUGCUCUGCUGUCACAGCAGUUGCCCAGAAUACGUGCUUCAAGUUAUGUUUAUUUUGAAAAAUGCCAAAAGUUUUGCAUACGUGUGGGAAGUUAGAUUCAUGGCUACUGAACUUAGGUGGGAAAAGUUUGUUUUUGAUUAAAAAUAAUUACAUUUAAGCAAAACGAGCUCUAAGAGCAAUAAAUGUUGGGGUGGGAGAAAUAAAGGGAAAAGACUUUGUUCAGUAUGUUACCAAUUUCCUGUCAUAGAUCUGCUUGUGGCUUUUUUCAAUCUCAAAGAUCUCAUGCAUUAUUUGCUUUAUAUUUGUCUUGCAAAACUUUGUCCAAGACUUGCACAUAAUUUAGAAUGCAGAACUCUAUGCCUUCUGUAAAUCCUAUGGAUAUUGUGAAGCCACUAUUAGAAAUGGAAUAAGGAAACAAUUUUCAGAGCAUUAAGAGUUUGCUUGGUAUUAUUUCAAAUUAAUGAAGUAGAUAGAAACUCAGCACUUUUCCAGUACUUGUAUCAUUUGCUAUUUACAGUAUUCAUAAAUAGGCAUUACAAACUUAAAAAAUAAAUCCAAUACCAUCAAUCCUCAUUUUUUUUCAUACAGAAAACAAUUUGUUUUCUUAAAACAUGCUUUGCAAAUUGUAUGUCUUAAUAUAUGUUGUAUUUCUAAAUAAAACAUAUGAAUACUUUCUUUUUUUUUCCAUAAAAUAAAUGUUUUCUCUU